rnacentral:rRNA from 1 species
AGCCACAGCCAUAUCAUCCUGCAGCCCAAGACUGGUUACUCACUGAAGCUAAGCAAGGCUGAGCCUAGUCUGGCCCUGGAUGAAAGACCACGUGGAAAAACUAGGUUGCUGUUAAUA